rnacentral:rRNA from 1 species
UGAGGAAUAUUGGUCAAUGGGCGAGAGCCUGAACCAGCCAAGUAGCGUGCAGGAAGACGGCCCUAUGGGUUGUAAACUGCUUUUAUGUGGGGAUAAAGUGCGUGACGUGUCAUGCAUUGCAGGUACCACAUGAAUAAGGACCGGCUAAUUCCGUGCCAGCAGCCGCGGUAAUACGGAAGGUCCGGGCGUUAUCCGGAUUUAUUGGGUUUAAAGGGAGCGUAGGCUGUCUAUUAAGCGUGUUGUGAAAUAUACCGGCUCAACCGGUGGCUUGCAGCGCGAACUGGUCGACUUGAGUAUGCAGGAAGUAGGCGGAAUUCAUGGUGUAGCGGUGAAAUGCUUAGAUAUCAUGACGAACUCCGAUUGCGAAGGCAGCUUACGGGAGCGCAACUGACGCUAAAGCUCGAAGGUGCGGGUAUCGAACAGG